rnacentral:sRNA from 14 species
UGAAAGCUUAAGCACUCGCAACUCGUUGAAAAAUAUCAGUCGAGCGCUGAUACCGUACUGAAGAGAAAAGUAGUAAAAAAGUGUUGAAGUUUGCCUAGAAAAAAGAAACGUUUAACCAAAAACAAAUUUUCCUAAAAAGGGGGUAGUUUUAACCCCUAACGAAACAAAACCGAGAAAUUGUGUAACACCAGUGCUACAGAAAGUAUUAUUUAUAGUUUUGCAAGAACUUAAACCAAAAAAACACACAUCGAAAUGAAUGAUCAGCAUGGGAGAGCCGACUCUUAUCGGGUCGCAACGGUUGUACCAACCGAUGACGACAAUCUUACAGCCGAUGGUCAUUACAAGGUAAAUAUGAAUAUUUUCUUUUUAAUUUUCUUGCUGAUUCUUUUGCUAUUAUAUUCUUUCACUGUUGUUCC